CAGAGCAGAGGACUGCAGGGAGCCACACAGCCAUGCAGGGAGACCACCAGGUUCCGAGGCUGAGGGAACUACCUCCUGGCCUGCUUCUGGACUGUGUGCUGCCAGAGUUGACACUGACUGGGGAGAAUGGAUGACAGCUCAGCAGGUAGGCCGUGCCUCCACUACAACAGGGUCAAAUGGCCUUCAAGACUGUCCCUUGGGGUGGAGGGGUGCUUCAAUUGCACCCCCAGUAUGUGGGGCCAGGACCCUGAACGUGACACCUGUGGAA